rnacentral:misc_RNA from 1 species
AAGUCGUAACAAGGUUUCCGUAGGUGAACCUGCGGAAGGAUCAUUACCGAGUCUUCGAGGCCCUAAUGGGUCUCGUCCUCUCCAACCCAUUGUUUACAAACCAUGUUGCCUCGGCGGGUCAGCGGUCUCGACCACCUCUGGCUCCUAGGAGCUCUUGAGCGCCCGCCGACGGGACCGACGAAACUCUUCUUGAAACGAGAUCUUCUGAGCUAAACUAAUAAAUACUUCAAAA